GCCGGCGUGGUGAAAUGGCAGACACGGCAGACUCAAAAUCUGCUGUCCGCAAGGACGUGAGAGUUCAAGUCUCUCCGCCGGCA
rnacentral:tRNA from 1 species